rnacentral:rRNA from 1 species
AGAAUCAACGCUGGCGGCGUGCCUAACACAUGCAAGUCGAACGAGAAAGUGGAGCAAUCCACGAGUAAAGUGGCACACGGGUGAGUAACACGUGACUAACCUACCCUUGAGUGGGGAAUAACUGAGGGAAACCUUAGCUAAUACCGCAUAACACCUAUGGGUCAAAGGAGCAAUUCGCUUAAGGAGGGGGUCGCGGCAGAUUAGUUAGUUGGCGGGGUAAUGGCCCACCAAGACAGUGAUCUGUA